rnacentral:rRNA from 1 species
UACGUAGGGUGCGAGCGUUAAUCGGAAUUACUGGGCGUAAAGCGUGCGCAGGCGGAUUGUUAAGCAAGACGUGAAAUCCCCGGGCUUAACCUGGGAAUGGCGUUUUGAACUGGCAGUCUAGAGUGUGUCAGAGGGGGGUAGAAUUCCACGUGUAGCAGUGAAAUGCGUAGAGAUGUGGAGGAAUACCAAUGGCGAAGGCAGCCCCCUGGGAUAACACUGACGCUCAUGUACGAAAGCGUGGGUAGCAAACAGGAGGAGAUAACCCUGUAGUCC